rfam:Pteropus alecto contig48846, whole genome shotgun sequence.
GGGAUGUGAUCAGAGCAGGGCUCAUGAAGAAUGGCUUCUCUGUUUACAACACAUCCAACAGGAAUUUGGGUUUACUCUUCACAGGUGGCAGGAUUUGGGUUUACUCUUCACUGUGACCUUCCUGUGACAUUAUGCCCUAUAUGU